AUGCUCUGGCUUUUUUUCAAGUGGUAUAAGUCUUUUCUAUUGUACUAAAGAUUUCUGUGGAGAGGAGCAGUUUUGAGUCUUACCCCAGUUUUUGAGGCUCUGGUUUGCUAGGGU
rfam:Alligator mississippiensis ScZkoYb_19, whole genome shotgun sequence.